rnacentral:rRNA from 1 species
CCCUUAGAUGUUCUGGGCCGCACGCGCGCUACACUGAUGCAUUCAACGAGUUUUUCCUGGUCCGAGAGGAAUGGGUAACCUUUUGAAAGUGCAUCGUGCUAGGGAUAGACUAUUGCAAUUAUUGGUCUUCAACGAGGAAUUCCUAGUAGACGUAGUUCAUCAGACUGCAUCGAUUACGUCCCUGCCCUUUGUACACACCGCCCGUCGCUCCUACCGAUUGGAUGAUCCGGUGAAUAAUUCGGACUGCAGCACUGCUUGGUCUCCAGGCUUUGCAGCGGAAAGUUUAGUGAACCUUAUCACUUAGAGGAAGGAGAAGUCGUAACA